rnacentral:lncRNA from 1 species
AAUUUUUAACAAAGACGCGGCGGCGAACGACGUUGACAUAGGGUUUUUAAAACCUGCAACUUGCAUGUUUUCACCGACACACUCGGUCUGGAGAGUUAAAGUGGAUUGUUACUGGGAAAAUGACGUCAUUUUGUUGGCAGACAUAACCUGAAUGACGUCAUUUUGUUGGCAGACAUAACCUGAAUUAUGGGGAAGUGGGAAACACGUGGCAGUAUGAAUAACACCUCGGAUUCACUCAAUUGACAUUGCAAUUAACAUCAUGAGCCUGGUCUGGGCCUCACAUUAUGGGCCUCAAUUCUUUGACUCCAGAUUAAUUUAUUUUCAUGUGAGCUUCAAGUUUUUUAUUAAAGUAUUUUUUUAUCUAAAAUUUUAUUAAAAUUAAAUUUUAAAAAAAUAUAUUUUUAAUAUUAGUAUAUUAAAAUGAUUUAAAAACAUUAAAAAUUAAUUAAAAAUUAAA